AGAGUUUGAUCCUGGCUCAGAACGAGCGCUGGCGGCAUGCUUAACACAUGCAAGUCGAACGAGGGCAUGGCUUCGGCCAUGUUCCUAGUGGCAAACGGGUGAGUAACGCGUGGGAAUCUACCUAGUUGUGGGGAAUAACUGCGGGAAACUGCAGCUAAUACCGCAUAAUCCCUCCGGGGGAAAGGCUUCGGUCGCAACUAGAGGAGCCCGCGUGAGAUUAGGUAGUUGGUAGGGUAAAGGCCUACCAAGCCUGUGAUCUCUAGCUGGUCUGAGAGGAUGAUCAGCCACACUGGGACUUAGACACGGCCCAGACUCCUACGGGAGGCAGCAGUGGGGAAUAUUGGACAAUGGAGGAAACUCUGAUCCAGCAAUGCCGCGUGAGUGAAGAAGGCUUUCGGGUUGUAAAACUCUUUCAGUAGGGAAGAUAAUGACGGUACCUACAGAAGAAGCCCCGGCAAACUUCGUGCCAGCAGCCGCGGUAAGACGAAGGGGGCUAGCGUUGUUCGGAAUUACUGGGCGUAAAGGGUGCGUAGGCGGCCAUUCAAGUUAGACGUGAAAGCCCAGGGCUUAACCCUGGAAUUGCGUUUAAUACUGUUUGGCUAGAGUUCGAUAGAGGGAAGUAGAAUUCCUAGUGUAGAGGUGAAAUUCGUAGAUAUUAGGAAGAAUACCAGAGGCGAAGGCGGCUUCCUGGAUCGAUACUGACGCUGAGGCACGAAAGCGUGGGGAGCAAACAGGAUUAGAUACCCUAGUAGUCC
rnacentral:rRNA from 1 species